rnacentral:misc_RNA from 1 species
UAAACAUAUUAUAACUAACUUCAUAGUAGUUAGGUGAACUAUCCAAUGGAAAAACUAACUGUUGAGUAGAAGCAUAUGAACUUGACGCCUAGGCUCAUUGGGCUACUGGCAACAAAAUCCAAGCAACAAUCCGAGCAAAAUUCUAUAUGUUUGAUGCCUUGCCAAAUUAGUUUUUCUCAGACUAAUCUAUAUUUGAAAACAUCAUCUAUCUAAAAUUUAUUGUACAAUGUUACAGGAACAUGAUCUUCCACCAUCUUUAUGAAGCAUUUACAGCCCAGAGGAAUGAAUCAGAUUUGGAAAGCUCUGUUGCAGCAGCAUGUGAAAAGUAAGCAGAUUUUCUUGGACCCAAUAAGAGUAUCCAAGGGCAAAUGAAGCCGCAGUGAGGCCAUUAAUUUUGAGGGAAUCAAGUCAUUACGUGAAACUUAAGGAUCCUUUUGCAGUGAAUCAUUUGAGCAGAUAAGAUGGCUUAAUAUUUGACCACCUCAAGCCAUUGAGAUUAGCGUCGGGCAGUCCGAGAUUUUAGCCUUGGUUUAGAUGUUGUACCAAAGC